rnacentral:rRNA from 1 species
CCUACGGGUGGCAGCAGUGGGGAAUAUUGGGCAAUGGGCGCAAGCCUGACCCAGCAACGCCGCGUGAAGGAAGACGGCUUUCGGGUUGUAAACUUCUUUUGUCCGGGGCGAAGCAAGUGACGGUACCUGACGAAUACGCCACGGCUAACUACGUGCCAGCAGCCGCUGUAAUACGGAGGUGGCAGGCGUUAUCCGGAUUUACUCGGUGUAAGGGGCGUUUAGGCGGGACUGGAAGUCAGAUGUGAAAACCACGGGCUCAACCUGUGGCCUGCAUGUGAAACUGUAGUUCUUGAGUACUGGAGAGGCAGACGGAAUGCCUAGUGUAGCGGUGAAAUGCGUAGAUAUGAGGAGGAACACCAGUGGCGAAGGCGGUCUGCUGGACAGCAACUGACGCUGAGGCGCGAAAGCGUGGGGAGCAAACAGGAUUAGAUACCCGAGUAGUC